AUUGAACGCUGGCGGCAUGCUUUACACAUGCAAGUCGAACGGUAACAGGCCUUCGGGCGCUGACGAGUGGCGAACGGGUGAGUAAUGCAUCGGAACGUGCCCAGUCGUGGGGAUAACGCAGCGAAAGCUGUGCUAACACCGCAUACGAUCUAUGGAUGAAAGCGGGGGACCGUAAGGCCUCGCGCGAUUGGAGCGGCCGAGGUCAGAUUAGGUAGGUGGGGGGGUAAAGGCUCACCAAGCAAACGAUCUGUAGCUGGUCUGGGAGGACGACCAGCCACACUGGAACUGAGACACGGUCCAGACUCCUACGGGAGGCAGCAGUGGGGAAUUUUGGACAAUGGGCGCAAGCCUGAUCCAGCAAUGCCGCGUGCAGGAAGAAGGCCUUCGGGUUGUAAACUGCUUUUGUACGGAACGAAACGGCGAGCUCUAAUACAGUUUGCUAAUGACGGUACCGUAAGAAUAAGCACCGGCUAACUACGUGCCAGCCGCCGCCGUAAAAC
rnacentral:rRNA from 1 species